AUUAGCUUGUUGGUAAGGUAACGGCUUACCAAGGCAACGAUGGUUAGGGGCCCUGAGAGGAUGAGCAGCCACACUGGGACUGAGACACGGCCCAGACUCCUACGGGAGGCAGCAGUGGGGAAUUUUCCGCAAUGGGCGAAAGCCUGACGGAGCAAGACCGCGUGGGGGAGGAAGGCUCUAGGGUUGUAAACCCCUUUUCUUUGGGAAGAACAAAAUGACGGUACCAAAGGAAUCAGCCUCGGCUAACUCCGUGCCAGCAGCCGCGGUAAUACGGAGGAGGCAAGCGUUAUCCGGAAUGAUUGGGCGUAAAGCGUCCGCAGGUGGCCAUGUAAGUCUGCUGUCAAAACCCAGGGCUCAACUCUGGUCAGGCAGUGGAAACUACAAAGCUAGAGUCUGGUAGGGGCAAAGGGAAUUCCCGGCGUAGCGGUGAAAUGCGUAGAUUUCGGGAAGAACAUCGGUGGCGAAAGCGCUUUGCUAGACCAGAACUGACACUCAGGGACGAAAGCUAGGGGAGCGAAUGGGAUUAGAUACCCCAGUAGUCCUAGCCGUAAACGAUGGAUACUAUGUGUUGCCUGUAUCGACCCAGGCAGUGCCGUAGCUAACGCGUUAAGUAUCUCGCCUGGGGAGUACGCACGCAAGUGUGAAACUCAAA
rnacentral:rRNA from 1 species